rnacentral:tRNA from 1 species
GGAGGCUUGGCAGAGUGGUCGAUUGCAACGGUCUUGAAAACCGUCGGGCGUGAGAGCGUCCCCAGGGUUCGAAUCCCUGAGCCUCCGCCA